UUACCAUUCAUCAAGGUAGGAUUAUCAGCAGUAUUGCAAUAAUUAUUAGAAGUAAAUAACUCGAGUUUUCUAGGAGUUAAAAUUCACAAAUCACUGCAACCUGUCAUAGAUGUGAUAUUAGAUGAUUGGCUGCCUCUUUUAUGUUACUUUAUUCGGCUAAAAGAACAACUACUCAAAAAAAUUGUUUGUGUUAGUAGCUGUACUUUUACCAUCCUCCAUUCUGCAAUGUUACAAUGUUCUCGGUAUCCUUUGAAUGG